CGCGCAGGCGGUCUUAUAAGUCAGAUGUGAAAGCCCACGGCUUAACCGUGGAAGAGCAUUUGAAACUGCAAGACUUGAGUACCAGAGGGGAAAGUGGAAUUCCAGGUGUAGAGGUGAAAUUCGUAGAUAUCGGGAGGAAUACCGGUGGCGAAGGCGACUUUCUGGCUGGAUACUGACGCUGAGGCGCGAAAGCGUGGGGAGCAAACA
rnacentral:rRNA from 1 species